AUUAUGAGUUAAUUGAGGGGGAAAUGUUUAAAAAAAGGCACAUUAUGAAGAACAUCAGGAAUGUCGGAAUGAAAAAAGGCUCUUUGGCCCAUUGAGGCUCAUUUUUUUUUAAUGUUAUUUUAUUUUAAAUGACAGUGGUUGUCUUUUGAAGGAUGCAUGAGAACCUCAUGUUCACUGUCUUUGCACCAUUUUUUGUUUAGGCAGCAUCUGAUACAUUUUUUUUUCUGGAAUAAGUAAUUCCAACAUCAGGGGUUUAUUUCUCAAACUUCAGCUUCCAGCCCUUGUCAGAUCCUCUCUGGGCCCUUGUUCCCUGGAGCUGACAUGUUGAUGCUUUCAGUUGUAUCUGGUACUGGAGGCUGGUACUACAACAAUGAUUUGGGAGAUCUUGAGGAGUGGCAAGAAUGGGCAAGUGCCUUGAAAGUCUUCAGCAAGGAAGGACUGAUGCAGGAAGCAGUAAUUUCAAUGGACACUGAUUUGGAGCAGCAGUUUUUAAGGAGUUGUGUAUGUUGUUUCCACUUAUGCUAAGCCAGUUUAUAUUUUGUCCUGACUCUUUUACUUUCCUUCUAAAAUUGUACCAUCUUUCAACUUUGGCCUCACAAAGCUGUCGACUAAAUAUGUGGGGGAAUUCUAAUAAAAUAUAUUUGAAUUAGUAUCA
rnacentral:lncRNA from 1 species